CAUGCCGUGAUACUUUUCUGCACUUUGUUAACUCGUCACUUCGCAUUUCACGGUAGGGUGAGCAAAGCAGUACUGCUCUAUUUCCGAUCUACAAUAUUCCCGUCAGAAGUAAGUAGACAAUUUCUCAGUUUUUCGCACCAUCCCUCCAACCAUCAUUGGACACUUAACAAAGAAAAGCAGCUUCAGACUUCUGAUGCCGAGAACGCAUGCGCCCUCUCGUUUCAGCUAAAUACAAUGUUGACGACGUAAGUCGCGUUUGGUCUUCUUUUUAAUAGCUACAAAGUUUAUCUCAAUAUUGACCACGGAAAAUUCCCCAAUAACGUUGCAAUAUUCCUUAUGCUUCGCAUCAAUUUUUCUUCUCCCUCAAGGUAAACCGGAAGGUGCUUGAUUACCUAAGCACACUCGCCCAACUCAGGGCCCAGCGUGUUGCGCCGAGUGCGGUGGUGGACACAUUCGACAAAGAGAAUCCUAGAUGACUAACCUCGUGGCAUGAAGAUUCACGAAAAUGCAUCCUCCAAAUGAAGCAAGAACGCCCAGUGCAUAGCGGCACACGUCACAAGAAAAAUACACCUCUUCCAGGCACAAUACACUGAACUGGCAGCUCACAUCAU